UACGUAGGGUGCGAGCGUUAAUCGGAAUUACUGGGCGUAAAGCGUGCGCAGGCGGUUCGUUAAGUCAGAUGUGAAAGCCCCGGGCUCAACCUGGGAACUGCAUUUGAAACUGGCGGGCUUGAGUGUGGCAGAGGGGGGUGGAAUUCCGCGUGUAGCAGUGAAAUGCGUAGAGAUGCGGAGGAACACCGAUGGCGAAGGCGGCACGCUAGACCUCUUCUGACGCUGAGGCACGAAAGCCAGGGGAGCGAACGGG
rnacentral:rRNA from 1 species